CACUUUCACUUUCCCCAGCCACAGCUCUCUCUUCCCUCCCCCACCUAUAUUUUUGGAGGAUGCAGCCUAAAGGAAAAGUGAAAGUGACCAGCCUUUGUUUUGAUUGCGGAGAAAAACAGCCCAGUUGGGGUUCACAGCCUGUGGUCCACACCUCGGGAACACAAGCGACUAGACUCGGCUCUGAAUGGGACAGUGCUAAGAAAUGGGAUCCUAAACACAUCUGGAACUAGCAGUGGAUCUGUGGGUGCAGCCUGGACCAGACUAAGCAUCUGCCUCUCUGCCUGCUCUGUCCCACCCCCACCCGUUGGCCACAGGGCUCCCUAAAGAUUAUGCUGAAAGGAGGAGAUGCGUGUGCAGUGCUCAGUACAAAAUUCAAGUAUAUCCAGAAGAGUAAGCGGGGGGAGACGGAGGCCUGAGAAUUUGCCCUCGUGGGACCACGGAUGCAGAGCACAUUUGCAAUGGAGCUGAAUAAUUCACCGUUUGGGAGCUAUAAGGGAAAAUAUGAUCCCCCCCCUUCUGCUCCUGUAUUUCUAAACUCCCACGUGUCAAUCAUCUAGAACAACCCUUAUGCUGGAAACUGGAUGAAUCAGUUUGGCUCAGGCUCUCACUUGGAUAACUACAAUUAAAAACUAGAUACAGAGGGCAAACAAACAUCUGUUGGGCGCCUUAUCUACAGAGGGCCCUCGACUUUGUCUUGACAGUUAGCACUCUGUGGUGAAUUAUAAUCUCCACUAAUUCACCCAAGUGGUAUUUAUCUCCUCAGACCUGGUAAAAAUCCCAUGUGCUUAUUGUUGCCAUGACUUUGUGCCUUCUCCAGCCAAAGAAUAACCAGGCUUCCAUACUAUGCUUUGAACAAAAGGUUUGACUGGAAACUGACAGGCUAAUGCCAGGGUGUCCUGGAUUUGUUAGGUUGCAUGCUGUGAUGAAUGAUUUCUGAACAACUUGGUAUAGACCCCUGUAAGCAGCUAAAUUACAAAAGAGCUGAAAAAGUUUCUUCACCUUGGACCUUCUGACAUCUUUGGUUUUAACUCUGCUGGCAGGCUUGUUCCUAGGACUUCAUUAACAGCCAAAUCCUGAUACAUCAAAACCAAUGUACGAACUUCUUGUGACUUCAGGGUCAUGCUGAAUUUGCUUGUCUGGUACUGAGUGCUUAGGCCUGGUCUACGCUACAAAGUUAGUUCAAUGCAAGUCAUCUUGGAUCAGCCUAUUUGCGCAUGGGUCUACACUCAAAUUUGUCACUGGCUGAUGUAAGUGCCCCACUACAGCGACACAGUAAAACACCUGCCCGAACUGCGGAGAGCCAUGGUUGACCUACUGAGGUCAAUGCAGAGCGAGUGUAGCCACUGCAUGACGUGUCAAUUCCAACGACCUCCACCAGCUGUCCCAAUGGACAGUGACCACCCUGGUUAUAUUUUUAAACUCCGCUGCCUAUGGGUCCGGCUCCAGGCACCAGCGCAACAAGCAGGUGCUUGGGGCGGCCAACGGGAAGGGGCGGCACGUCCAGCUCUUUGGCGGCAAUUUGGUGGCGAAUCCCUCAGUCCCUCUCGGAGGGAAGGACCUGCCGCUGAAGAAUGAAGCGGCGUGAUGAAGCUGUUGCUGAUUGUGAUCGCGACUUUUUUUUUCCCCCUGCCGCUUGGGGUGGCAAAAAUCCUGGAGCCGGCCCUGCUCCCCACUUAACUCCCCCUGUGUGCUUUCGAAAUGCCUCUUCCUGAUUGCCCAGCUUGGCGAGCACACACAGCUCACCUUUGUUACAUGCAGUUGCCUUGCCUAACUGACCAUGCCAGCUCCAUGCACACAGACGUACUAGACACAGUCCUGCCUGGAGUAGACAGAAAGUAUUGGAUUUCCUGGGCACGGACCAGCUGUAGAAACGUGGACAUCCCUGAGCAGAUUGCAUGGGGGGUGCAGGGAAAGGGUUAUGACAGGGAUCAGCAGCAGUGCUGUAUAAACGCGAAGGAACUUUGCCAGGAAUAUCACAAGGCCAGGGAGGCCAAUGAUGGAUCUGGUGCUGCGCCACAGACCUACCACUUCUACAAGGAACUGCAUGCCAUCCAUGGUAGAGACCUCGCCAGCAACCCACAGACCACUGUGGAUUCCUCAUGGGAGCCCAAGACCCUAGCUGUGAAUGGCGAGGAGGAGGAUGGGAUGGGGGAGACAUAGCAGGGGACUCCAGCCAUGCUGUGAGCCAGGAGCUGUUUGAGGCUCCACCAAAGUCUAGCAAGUCCUACCAGGCGAGCACAGAUGAGCCUAAUGAAGGGGGAAGAGAACUCAGCUUUCGGCAGGGUGGCCUUGAGGGAUGCCCCCUCCUUGCCAGCAGAACACCUGACCCUGAAGAGGAGGAGAAAGAAGAGAAUGAGGGAGGACAUGAUUUGUGAGAUCCUGCAAGCCAGUGAGGCAUCAGACCAUGAACAAAGGGCUUGGAGAGCCAGCGUGACGAACAGCAUGGAGAAGGAAAGAGAGAACAAGUAAAAGGCUCCAGGAGUUGCAGCAGGAAAUGUAGCAGAAUGUAGUAGGUCUUCUCAGUCAGCAAAUUCAAGUGCUGCAGGCCCUGAUUGACCUACGGGUCCAGAAAUCCCAGACCUGUCCACCUUUUGCAGUCCUUGGAGAAUUCCAUGGUCGCUGCUCCUUUCAACUCCUAAUAUACCACAUGGCAUCACAGGGCACAUCCUUACCCCUUCCACUCCAUGCCAGGGACAGUAAGGAAAACCACAGCUUUACAUACACUGACCUGUGAGAACCACGGCAGGUGUAUGUGUAGCCACACUGGACUAUGCUUGUUUCCUCAACAGGACACACAUGUUUAUAAUUUUAAACUUUCACCCCGUUAUGUUAAAAACUUGUGUAACAGGGCCUAUGUGUUUUCUGGUUUUUGCACAUUGAUUUUCUGCAGCAUUGUUUCUUUUUUCCCACUCAACUUGCGUUUUUUGGAGAAUCAAAUCACCUCUAUUAGUUCACAACAAACAUUGCAGAAUGCAUAGUGGUACACAAAGCAGACAGUAUUUGUAAAUACACGCCAAGCAUCAUAGAAUUCAUAGCUACAGAAAAACACCCAGUUAUAUUCAUAAAUGUACAGUAAGCACUUCAAGCAACCCGUAAAGAUCUAGGCCCACAGACCAGUACUGUGGCUGACAGUUUAAGUGCUGUUUCAAAGCUUCCCUCAACUGCAUAGUUCCAUAGUGGGGUCUUGUUAUGAACCAUGAGUCUGGCUGUUCAGAGUCAGUCAGCAGCUGCUUCACGUCUGUCCUCCACCCUGGUGGCAGCUUUUCCCCCGUGGCCUCAUAGAUAUUAUGCAGGACACAAGAGGCAGCUAUAAACAUUGGGAUAUUUUUCUCACUGAGCUCCAAACUAGUGAGUAGACACUGCCAGCAUCCCUUCAAUUUACCAAAAGCACAUUCAACUGUCAUUCUGCACCUGCUGAGCUGGUAAUUGAAUCUUUCCUUGGUGCUGUCCAGGUAGCCAGUGUAUAGCUUCAAGAGCAAGGGUUAGGCUGGGUCCUCUAGCAUCAUUAUUGGCAUUUCAAUAUCACCAGUGGUAAUUCACUGGCCAGGAAAAAAUGUCCCUACUUGCAGAUUUCUGAAUAACCAUGUGUUCUUAAAGAUACGAGUGUCAUGCAUCUUCUCUGACCAACCAACACUGAUGUCGGUGAAGCCACCCCAGUGAUUCACCUAGACGUGCAUAACCAUAGAAAAGUUUCCUUUUCUGUUGUACUCUGUGGGAAGAUAGGCUGGUGCCAGAAUAGAGAGUUGCAUGCUGCCUAUCGCCCCACCACUGUUCAGGAACGCUCAUUGCUGCAAAUCCACCCACUAUGUCCUGCACAUUGCCAAGAGUUACAGGCCUGCAUAGCAGGAGAUAAUAAUGGUUCUAUGCACUUGCACAACAAUGGCCCCACUGUGUAUUUUCCAACUCUAAAAUGAUUUCUCACUGACCAGUAGCAAUCUGGUAUUGCAAGCUUCCAGAGUGUGAUCACCACUCGCUUCUCCGUUGCUGAUGCAGCUCUCAUUCUGUUGUCCAUGCACUGAAGGGCUGGGGAGAACUCAGUGCACAGAUCCAGUCAUAUGGCCUUGUGCAGCCAAAAGUUCUACCGCCACUGUGCAUUGUCCCAAACCUGCAUUAUGAUACGAUUCUGCCAGUCAGUGCUUUUUGCUCGGGUCCAGAAGCAGCACUCCAUCAUCUGCAGCUGCUCUGUGAAUGUCACCAACAACUUUGAAUUGUUUUUCACUAUGUCCCUCAGCAAACUGUCCUCAAAGAAUUAUCAUGUUCCUGGUUAUUGUGCUUCCUGGAGGUCUUCAAAUACAGGCAGGAGCGCCACCAGCUUUUCUUCCGCCCUAGGCAGCGGAAGGUCCCGCCGCCGAAAUACCGCCGCGGUCGCCACCUCCCAAAUUGUAGCGCCCUAGGCACCCGCCUAGGUCGCCUAAUGGGUUGCACCGGCCCUGAAUACAGGAGAAGUGUGCGUCAUUCACAAGAACAUUAUAGAGCUUUGCAGACUCUGGGCUUCAGCCAGAGAUGGCAGAGACUGAAAAGUGUCAUGCAAGUUUGGGAGGGGGGCGUUUAAAAAGGUUUGAAAAUUAUGGGCUCUGGAUGGCAUGAUGGGAUGGAGAAAGUUAUCUGCUGGGAACUUAACCCCUAGCUCCCAGAGAUCCCCGGAUGAGUCAUUACUAUCUCACAACACAUUGCAAAAAUGGCCAAUAUGGCAUGGUGCCAGAUGGCAGAGCAUGGCACUUUGGAAUAUGCUCCCGUAGUGCACUGCACUUUGCAUUAACACAAGCAUGCCUGGUGAGUAGUCACAGUGCUGACACAAGUAGCCAUGUGACCGAGCAAUAUACAAACUUUGGCGGCUGUAUGCUGACAUAACUUUGUAGUGUGUAGAUUUGACCUUAGGAAAGCGUUGGCAAAAGCAAUGGCACUUAGCAAGGCCUUUCCCUGCCCAAAACAAAGUAAAGACCUGUGCUAAAUUAAAUAUUCCCAUGUUUGUUCUUCUAUGGAAUGGCUUUUGCCUUCAGUGAUCCACCUUGUUAAUGAGACACCUGGCUGUUGAGUGAAUGCAAACCAUAGAAAGAAGAGCUCCCCAUAGUGACUUUAGGUAAUUCUUGUAGAUGUAGAUGUAACUGGCCAGAUCCUCAUAUCAUGCAAAUCGAUGCAGCUCUAUUAACUGUAAUGAAGCUAUGCUAAUUUAUACCAUCUGAGGAUCUAGCUCAUAAUGGUACCGGUAGCCACAGUGGUCCCUGACCUGUUUGGUAUGAUUAGGCCUAGGAAAUAAAAUUAAUUAUCUUACAAACACUCCUUUGUGAGUGUGGGCUCAUCUCUGUUUGUGUCUUGCACUGUCACAAGAUUAUGAGAUUAUUACAAUCCCAGGGAUAGACCCCACAGGGGUUAAAACACUGGGGGACCAUCACUCCCACAAGACCUUAACCACUGAGAGAAAUGUUAGGGGACACAGAACAACUUGAGAGACUUCCCAACACCUUGCUGCUGCCAUCAAAGCUUGAUGAAGCCUUCCUUUUAGCUACACAUUGAGGGCCAGGUCUUCAAGUGGUGUCAAUCACCUCCAGUUUAUACCAGCUAAGGUUAUAGCCCAGACUGAGCGUAGCAGGGACAUGGAAAAACCCUAAAAUGCUCUGGCAAUAAUAUGUUUGCAUAGCUCUGUACAGGCUCCUGCUCCUUUUCUGAGUUUCCUUUCCUAGUGAUCACUAGUGUGUUUUUGUGUAACAAGGUGAAAGGCUGGGUGAAAGGAGACCUUUUUAAUCACAUUUGGGUGACAGCCUGUUAAAGUGGGCCCCUCGCUCACCCAGGUUCUAUUCGGUUGUUUCCCUUGCGAGGAUUCUAGAACAGAACACAUUGCAGCAUGAACAAUGGAAGUGGAUUUGGGAAUAUGGGGAUUUGUAAAACAUUGAUUCUCAGCUUUUUGUUUUUCACUUGAAAUGUGUUUUGGAAAACAACGUAAGCUGUUUUAGGUCCUAAAUUGUUAAUGGAGUGAGUAUGAAAUUCCUCAAUAAUAUUGUAAUCCUUUGAAUGUAUACAGCGCCUUCCUACUGGAUCCCACGAUUAUUACAAACAAUGAUGAUUUACUCCACACCAACAUCUAGUGAUUUAAGGAAGUAUUAUCCCCAGUUGACUAAGGGGGAAGCUGAGAUCACACAGGAACUCUGCCCCAGAACUGAUGGUGAAACCCAAAUCUGAAGCUUAGGAUAUACCAGAGCACGUACAGCGGCAUACCUGAACCGAUGCAGCUGCACUGAUGUGUAUUCUCCAGUGGAGCCACUCUAAACCGAUGGGAGAGAACUCUCCUGUCAACAAUUGGAGUCAUCGUGGAUAGUUCUCUGAAAAUGUCCACGCAGCGUGCAGAGGCGGUCAAAAAAGCAAACAGGAUGUUAGGAAUCAUUAAA